UACGAAGGGGGCUAGCGUUGCUCGGAAUCACUGGGCGUAAAGGGCGCGUAGGCGGCCAUUCAAGUCAGGGGUGAAAGCCUGUGGCUCAACCACAGAAUUGCCUUUGAUACUGUUUGGCUAGAGACCGGAAGAGGUAAGUGGAACUGCGAGUGUAGAGGUGAAAUUCGUAGAUAUUCGCAAGAACACCAGUGGCGAAGGCGGCUUACUGGUCCGGUUCUGACGCUGAGGCGCGAAAGCGUGGGAGCAACAGG
rnacentral:rRNA from 1 species